rnacentral:rRNA from 1 species
UGGGGAAUAUUGGGCAAUGGGCGCAAGCCUGACCCAGCAACGCCGCGUGAGGGAAGAAGGUUUUCGGAUUGUAAACCUCUGUCCUUAGGGACAAAAAAAAUGACGGUACCUAAGGAGGAAGCUCCGGCUAACUACGUGACAGCAGCCGCGGUAAUACGUAGGGAGCAAGCGUUGUCCGGAAUUACUGGGCGUAAAGGGUGCGUAGGUGGCCAUGCAAGUCAGAUGUGAAAUCCCCGGGCUUAACUCGGGUGCUGCAUUUGAAACUGCGUGGCUUGAGUGCAGGAGAGGAAAGCGGAAUUCCUAGUGUAGCGGUGAAAUGCGUAGAUAUUAGGAGGAACACCAGUGGCGAAGGCGGCUUUCUGGACUGUAACUGACACUGAGGCACGAAAGCGUGGGGAGCAAACA